rnacentral:rRNA from 1 species
UACGAAAGGGGCUAGCGUUGUUCGGAAUUACUGGGCGUAAAGCGCACGUAGGCCGGUUGGUAAGUUGGGGGUGAAAUCCCGGGGCUCAACCCUGGAACUGCCUUCAAAACUGCUAGGCUAGAGGAUGCUAGAGGUUGGAGGAAUUCCGAGUGUAGAGGUGAAAUUCCUAGAUAUUCGGAUGAACACCAGUGGCGAAGGCGACCAACUGGAGCAUUUCUGACGCUGAGGUGCGAAAGCGUUGGGAGCAAACAGG